CCGCCCAUAGCUCAGCCCGGUAGAGCAGCUGCCUUUUAAGCAGAUGGUCGCAGGUUCAAAUCCUGCUGGGCGGA
rnacentral:tRNA from 1 species